GGCCUCGUGGCGCAACGGUAGCGCGUCUGACUCCAGAUCAGAAGGUUGGUUGCGUGUUCAAAUCACGUCGGGGUCA